AAAAGCUUAGGAUUAAAUAUUAAACCAGUGGCCUUCAACACCACAAACAAGGGAGGACCCUUAGCUUUU
rnacentral:tRNA from 3 species